rnacentral:rRNA from 1 species
UACAGAGGGUGCGAGCGUUAAUCGGAAUUACUGGGCGUAAAGCGUGCGUAGACGGUUAUUUAAGCCGGGUGUGAAAGCCCCGGGCUCAACCUGGGAAUUGCAUUCGAAACUGCAGAGCUGGAGUCCUGGAGAGGAAGGCGGAAUUCUCGGUGUAGAGGUGAAAUUCGUAGAUAUCGAGAGGAACACCGGUGGCGAAGGCGGCCUUCUGGACAGUGACUGACGCUGAGACGCGAAAGCGUGGGGAGCAAACAGG